GAGAAUUUAGUUAAUUGAUAACAUUACUUUGUCAAGGUAAAAUAAUGAGUGAAACCCUCGCAUUUCUCU
rnacentral:tRNA from 1 species